rnacentral:rRNA from 1 species
AUUGAACGCUAGCGGGAUGCCUUACACAUGCAAGUCGAGCGGAGUGGCGAACGGGUGAGUAAUGUAUCGGUACGUGCCCAGUAGCUGGGGAUAACUACGCGAAAGCGUAGCUAAUUCCGCAUACUUUUGGAGCGGCCGAUACCGGAUUAGCUAGUUGGUGGGGUAACGGCCCACCAAGGUGACGCUCCGUCGCUGGUUUGAGAGGACGACCAGCCACACUGGAACGGAGACACGGCCCAGACUCCUACGGGAGGCAGCAGUGGGGAAGAUUGGACAAUGGGGGAAAGCCGGAUGCAGCCAGCCCGCGUGGGCGAUGAAGGCCUUCGGGUUGUAAAGCACUUUUGGCAGGAAAGCGGUACCUGCAGAAGAAGCACCGGCUAACUACGUGCCAGCAGCCGCGGUAAUUC